rnacentral:rRNA from 1 species
UGGGGAAUUUUGGACAAUGGGCGAAAGCCUGAUCCAGCAAUGCCGCGUGUGUGAAGAAGGCCUUCGGGUUGUAAAGCACUUUUGUCCGGAAAGAAAUCCUUGGCUCUAAUACAGUCGGGGGAUGACGGUACCGGAAGAAUAAGCACCGGCUAACUACGUGCCAGCAGCCGCGGUAAUACGUAGGGUGCAAGCGUUAAUCGGAAUUACUGGGCGUAAAGCGUGCGCAGGCGGUUUGCUAAGACCGAUGUGAAAUCCCCGGGCUCAACCUGGGAACUGCAUUGGUGACUGGCAGGCUAGAGUAUGGCAGAGGGGGGUAGAAUUCCACGUGUAGCAGUGAAAUGCGUAGAGAUGUGAGGAAUACCGAUGGCGAAGGCAGCCCCCUGGGCCAAUACUGACGCUCAUGCACGAAAGCGUGGGGAGCAAACAGGAUUAGAUACCCUGGUAGUCCACGCCCUAAAACGAUGUCAACUAGUUGUUGGGGGAUUCAUUUCCUUAGUAACGUAGCUAACGCGUGAAGUUGACCGCCUGGGGAGUA